rnacentral:lncRNA from 1 species
UGUUUUGUUCGUGUCGUUUCAUUUAUUAAACGGACAAACACGAACGCUGGAAAUUUUGGAGAAAAACACUUGUUUUGUUUUGCAGAUUACCUACCUGGGGUUUUGGAGAAAUUCAGUUCAAGAGCUCGGCAUGGUAAUACUCGUGCGGAAACUAAUGUAACUUUUUGGUGUGAUUGCAGGAACCGUAACAUUCGAUCUAUGAGAAAAAGGAAGAAUCCCGGUAGCGUAAUCCAACAAUAAGAGAAUCCAACAUGCAGUAUAAAGAAUACCACAAACAGAAUAUACAGAUGAUGCGUGUAAUAAAAGAGCUCAAACACGUUUCUUCGUAUAUAAGUGAUGGUGGCAAACAUGGCAUGUAUGUAAGCUGAUGUGGACCAAACCAAAAGCCCAAUAAACAUGGAGAGAAAGAGCAACUCUUUCCGGGUAACAAUACCAAGUGGACCUCUUACAAUCACGGGCCGGUCCAAUAAGCCCAUCAAAUGAAUAUGGGAUCUAACAAAAUAAUCAAAAUUUCAUAAGUAAAAGAAAAAUAAAGUUUUAUGAUUAUUACAGUAACAAAACAAAUCUUUGUAUUUAACAUCUUUGAAUUAUAAUAUGGACUAAACUGCCAGAAUGCCAGAAUGGUCUCUGAGGUUUGGUCGCUUUUGUCACUUUAGUCUAAAACUCAAACCUUUUGAAUCUGG